GCAACCUAAAGUUUGCCCGCGCGGCACCAGCGCCGAAUGCUCCCCUAGCGGACCGAUGGAAGUUUCGAGGGUCGUCGCUGCGCAAGCGCGCGCCCGUGUUUUGUACGGCGGGAGCGCUCGUGCGCGUGGUUUUUGCGAUGCCGAGUGCGACCUCACCAGCCAGGAAAGGCGGCACGCAAUACUGAUGUGUUGUUGAUUGCCACAGCAGCCUCGAAAACACAAAAGGUCGUACGCCGCCCGUGAAGUUCUACAGAUUUCCGGGGAAGUGGUACGAGAAGGGCAGACGACAAGCAUGGAUAACUGCAGUGCGCCGAGUCAAAUGGAAGCAGCGCCAAACAGACCAAUGGCAAUCACAACAGUCUUCUCAGCAGUCAGCCCCACCGGGACAUGUGCUUUCGUACUGCUGCUCAACAGCAAGACACGUGUGAAACAGACUCCAGAACAUGCCUUUGUGAAGUGACGGAACCGUCAAGAAGCAGCCCAAUGGAUCUGCAGUCAUCGAGUAGUAUAUGACAACAGAAGUUCCUGCUGCCAGUGUGACUUACGUUGUAAUUGAAAUAAAAGUGGCUAAAUUUCUGAA